rnacentral:rRNA from 1 species
AGUGAACGCUGGCGGUAGGCCCAACACAUGCAAGUCGAACGGCAGCACAGUAAGAGCUUGCUCUUACGGGUGGCGAGUGGCGGACGGGUGAGGAAUACAUCGGAAUCUACUUUUUCGUGGGGGAUAACGUAGGGAAACUUACGCUAAUACCGCAUACGACCUACGGGUGAAAGCAGGGGAUCUUCGGACCUUGCGCGAUUGAAUGAGCCGAUGUCGGAUUAGCUAGUUGGCGGGGUAAAGGCCCACCAAGGCGACGAUCCGUAGUUGGUCUGAGAGGAUGAUCAGCCACACUGGAACUGAGACACGGUCCAGACUCCUACGGGAGGCAGCAGUGGGGAAUAUUGGACAAAGGGCGCAAGCCUGAUCCAGCCAUACCGCGUGGGUGAAGAAGGCCUUCGGGUUGUAAAGCCCUUUUGUUGGGAAAGAAAAGCAGCAGGUUAAUACCCCGCUGUUCUGACGGUACCCAAAGAAUAAGCACCCGCUAACUUCGUG